GGGGUCAGCCUCCAUGUCGAAGAGGCGGAAAGACAGCAUGACCACAUGACCCUCUGGGACCUGGAGGGGAAAAUAGGCAUUUGUUGUAUGUCUCCUGCGGUACUGUAAGGCCACAUUUUGGCCAAAAUAUCCCAGUGGCGGUGUAGUCCCUCCCUUCUGACCCUCUGGAGCUGAGCGGCCCACAGGCAUUUGUUUGUCUCUCAUGUUCAAUUUACACCCUGUGUGUGGAAGUAGCUAUAGCUGUGCAAACAUCAAGAUCAUAUGGAAGGCCUUUUGAGCAAAUAACGUCUUAGAAAAAAAUUUCCAAGACGUCAUUUACUCAAAUGGCAUUCCAUAAAGUAAGAAGCUCAAAAAAUGUGGAGCUGGAGCAUAAAACUCUGAAUUUAUUGUAAUUUUUUCACAAAAACAUCAGACAUGAGGAUGAGCUACUGUACAUUUGCCCAGUAAAAUCACUACAGCAUGCUGUCA